CAGUGUAUCAGGUACAGUGUGUGUCAGUGUCAGGUACAGUGUGUGUCAGUUAAUCACAGCUAAUUGCACCUUGUUCCGGUCCCGCGGGGAGAAGCUGGACAUGCGCGACUACGUGCAAGACCGAAAAUCUUAACAAAGUUAUGUUGACUACAGGGCUUGUUUUCCUUGUGUCUAUGAUCGGUGGGACAUGAAGCUGACAAGGCGGCCACGUAUGACAAAUAGUUACACAUGGUUAAACUCUGAGAUUGUCCAUUGUACGAAAUGAGGAUGACUUGAACACAGAGUAGACAGGGACGUGUCCUGUAUGAUGUAAAACCUACGCACCAGUGUUUUCUAUAUAUUUCACUAAAUCCAACUGCCAACUUCGUAUAUGUUGCCUAAAGCUAAACCUUUCAAGAAUCUUUUUUAUACAACAUGGUCGUUUACUUAUGGUACUGGAAAGGGUACCAAAACCAAAAAUGUUCAUUGAACAAUCAAUCAAUCAAUCAAUUAUUCAAUCAUUGAUUCAUCAAUCGAUUCCAUCGCUUCAAACAAAGAUGUGAGGACAUCCCCUUAAAGGUCACGUCAAACCCUCUUCCAUACGACCAGACAGAGCGUCGAUUACCAGAUCACGAAAGUGCAGACAUUCGGAAUGUUUGUUGUCUAAUCAUGCAACCUCCUUAAGGUGACGAAGUAUUCCGAACGACCGAAAUCGUCACAAUCACAGUCUGUCUCUUGGUUCGAUGAGAAAAACAUUUGAACAACUUUCCAUGUUUUUUUUUUACAUCUAUUAGACAUUCCAGAAUGUUCUUUUCAUUAGUAUUUCUAUCUUUAAAUCGAGAACUUUGGUCUCCAGCCUGAAAAUAUUACCAUAAAGCCUGAGAAAGCUGCUUUCUGACCGUUUCAUGUCGACUUCCUUCUAGACAUUUCAUUGGACCUCGAGAGUUCAGGACCUGAUGGGAUCUGAAACUGGGUGUCCUCAGAUCUAUGUUUUGAGGUAGCGAGAACAAAGGACUUGCUCUAUUAUGAGACUGGGAAUGUAUCUAAUACAUAAACCCGUUUAUAUAUGUC